rnacentral:rRNA from 1 species
GUAGGGAAUCUUCCACAAUGGACGAAAGUCUGAUGGAGCAACGCUGCGUGAGUGAAGAAGGUCUUCGGAUCGUAAAACUCUGUUGUUAGAGAAGAACGUGCAUGAUAGUAACUGAUCAUGUAAUGACGGUAUCUAACCAGAAAGCCACGGCUAACUACGUGCCAGCAGCCGCGGUAAUACGUAGGUGGCAAGCGUUGUCCGGAUUUAUUGGGCGUAAAGGGAACGCAGGCGGUUUUUUAAGUCUGAUGUGAAAGCCUUCGGCUUAACCGAAGAAUAGCAUUGGAAACUGGAAGACUUGAGUGCAGAAGAGGAGAGUGGAAUUCCAUGUGUAGCGGUGAAAUGCGUAGAUAUAUGGAGGAACACCAGUGGCGAAAGCGGCUCUCUGGUCUGUAACUGACGCUGAGGUUCGAAAGCGUGGGUAGCAAACAGGAUUAGAUACCCUAGUAGUCC